CCCUACAACAAACGAAUGCUGGAGAGGUAACAUUAAUCCAGCAUGUUCCAGUGCCAAAUGAUCAGGGAGGCCUGCACUCUCUACUUCAAAGCAAAGCAGCAGUGUUAAGUUACCCGAGGAACACAGGAACACAGGAUCAUUUCAAGUCCAGGAGACUGCUUGUCAAAGUUUGUGUCAGUCACUUGGUGGAGAAGGGUGAAUUUUACCCAUCAAGUGCUGAAAAGCUUGUUUUUGUCACUACUUUCACAUCUUUGCCGGGU